rnacentral:rRNA from 1 species
GAUGAACGCUGGCGGCGUGCCUAAUACAUGCAAGUCGAGCGAACGGACGAGAAGCUUGCUUCUCUGAUGUUAGCGGCGGACGGGUGAGUAACACGUGGAUAACCUACCUAUAAGACUGGGAUAACUUCGGGAAACCGGAGCUAAUACCGGAUGAUAUUUUGAACCGCAUGGUUCAAAAGUGAAAGACGGUCUUGCUGUCACUUAUAGAUGGAUCCGCGCUGCAUUAGCUAGUUGGUAAGGUAACGGCUUACCAAGGCAACGAUGCAUAGCCGACCUGAGAGGGUGAUCGGCCACACUGGAACGGAGACACGGUCCAGACUACUACGGGAGGCAGCAGUAGGGAAUCUUCCGCAAUGGGCGAAAGCCUGACGGAGCAACGCCGCGUGAGUGAUGAAGGUCUUCGGAUCGUAAAACUCUGUUAUUAGGGAAGAACAUAUGUGUAAGUAACUGUGCACAUCUUGACGGUACCUAAUCAGAAAGCCACGGCUAACUACGUG